AAACGUUCACCCUGAUACUUCAGGGCGCAGACCCAAUAAGGCCACGGAACGGGGACCUUAC
ncrna:Prochlorococcus marinus subsp. marinus str. CCMP1375 Glutamine-II riboswitch (downstream peptide RNA)